GCUGAGUUGGGUAGCGCUUGCUUGUAAUCCUAGCGGAGGUAUUAAGGUGAUUGGACAUUGGUUCGGCACAUGAAUUCGGUUCCAUUGUGGCUCUCCUCAGGCCUGUCCGUUCCAAGCCAGGAGUUGAGCCAGGUGUCUUGUGCGAAGGCUUGGGUCUUGUGGCUCCUAGAGUGGAAGGCACCGCGUGAGGCUGGUUUCACAGAGCAGCGAAAACUUCCCCCUCUUGGCAGUGGAAGGAUAACAGGCUGUUGUCACUUGGAUCCAUAUUGGAUCCAUGGGCCGAUCCUACUUGGACAAUCACCUUU
rfam:Gossypium raimondii chromosome 7, whole genome shotgun sequence.